GUACUCGCUUGGGCAACACAUAUACUAAAAUUGGCACAAUACAGAGAAGAUUAGCGCGGCCCCUGCAUGAGGAUGACAAGCUAUUAAGUAAAGUGCAUACUUUACAA
rnacentral:snRNA from 1 species